rnacentral:rRNA from 1 species
CGAAAGUAAAAUUUCGUGGAGGUCCGAACCCACGAGCGUUGAAAAGCUCGGGGAUGACUUGUGGGUAGCGGUGAAAUUCCAAUCGAGCCCGGAGAUAGCUGGUUCUCCCCGAAAUAGCUUUAGGGCUAGCCUCAAGGUGAGAGAUACGGAGGUAGAGCACUGAAUGUCCUAGGGGGUAUUGCACCUACCGAAGACUAUCAAACUCCGAAUGCCGUCAUCUUAUACUUGGGAGUCAGACUGUGGGUGAUAAGAUUCAUAGUCGAAAGGGCAACAGCCCAGAUCGUCAGCUAAGGUCCCUAAAUGUAAGUUAAGUGGUAAAGGAUGUGGGAUUGCACAGACAACCAGGAUGUUGGCUUAGAAGCAGCCACUCAUUCAAAGAGUGCGUAAUAGCUCACUGGUCGAGUGAUCCUGCGCCGAAGAUUUCCGGGGCUAAAACUUACUACCGAAGCUACGGCAUCAGUAAUGA